UACGUAGGGGUCUAGCGUUGUCCGGAAUUAUUGGGCGUAAAGAGCUCGUAGGCGGUUCGGCAAGUCGGAUGUGAAAUCUCCACGCUUAACGUGGAGGGGCCAUUCGAAACUGCUGUGACUCGAGUCCGGUAGGGGAGUUCGGAAUUCCCGGUGUAGCGGUGAAAUGCGCAGAUAUCAGGAAGAACACCCGUGGCGAAGGCGGCUCUCUGGAACGCAACUGACGCUGAGACGCGAAAGCGUGGGGAGCAAACAGG
rnacentral:rRNA from 1 species